rnacentral:rRNA from 1 species
AUUGAACGCUGGCGGCCUGCUUUACACAUGCAAGUCGGACGAGUGGCGAACGGGUGAGUAACGCAUCGGAACGUACCGAGUCAUUGGGGAUAACUGUCCGAAAGGACAGCUAAUACCGCAUAUUAUUCGAGCGGCCGCUGUCUGAUUAGCUGGUUGUCGGGGUAAAGGCCCACCAAGGCGACGAUCAGUAGCGGGGCUGAGAGGAUGAUCCGCCACACUGGGACUGAGACGCGGCGCAGACUCCUACGGGAGGCAGCAGGGGGGAAUUUUGGACAAUGGGCGAAAGCCUGAUCCAGCCAGGCCGCGUGAGUGAUGACGGCCUUCGGGUUGUAAAGGUCUGUUAAUCGGGACGCGUGACCGGAAUAGAAAGCCACGGCUAACUACGUGCCAGCAGCCGCGGUAAUUC